rnacentral:rRNA from 1 species
UACGUAGGGGGCAAGCGUUGUCCGGAAUCAUUGGGCGUAAAGAGCGUGUAGGCGGUCCGGUAAGUCGGCUGUGAAAGUCGGGGGCUCAACCCUCGAAUGCCGGUGGAUACUGUCGGGCUAGAGUACGGAAGAGGCGAGUGGAAUUCCUGGUGUAGCGGUGAAAUGCGCAGAUAUCAGGAGGAACACCGAUGGCGAAGGCAGCUCGCUGGGACGGUACUGACGCUGAGGCGCGAAAGCGUGGGGAGCGAACAGG